UACGUAGGGGGCAAGCGUUGUCCGGAAUCAUUGGGCGUAAAGAGCGUGUAGGCGGCCCGGUAAGUCCGCUGUGAAAGUCCAGGGCUCAACCCUGGGAUGCCGGUGGAUACUGUCGGGCUCGAGUCCGGAAGAGGAGUGUGGAAUUCCUGGUGUAGCGGUGAAAUGCGCAGAUAUCAGGAGGAACACCAAUUGCGAAGGCAGCUCGCUGGGACGUAACUGACGCUGAGACGCGAAAGCGUGGGGAGCAAACAGG
rnacentral:rRNA from 1 species